CGACACAUGUCGACUUGGAGGUUGUGCCCUUGAGGCGUGGCUUCCGGAGCUAACGCGUUAAGUCGACCGCCUGGGGAGUACGGCCGCAAGGUUAAAACUCAAAUGAAUUGACGGGGGCCCGCACAAGCGGUGGAGCAUGUGGUUUAAUUCGAUGCAACGCGAAGAACCUUACCUGGUCUUGACAUCCACGGAAGUUUUCAGAGAUGAAAAGGUGCCUUCGGGAACCGUGAGACAGGUGCUGCAUGGCUGUCGUCAGCUCGUGUUGUGAAAUGUUGGGUUAAGUCCCGCAACGAGCGCAACCCUUAUCCUUUGUUGCCAGCGGUCCGGCCGGGAACUCAAAGGAGACUGCCAGUGAUAAACUGGAGGAAGGUGGGGAUGACGUCAAGUCAUCAUGGCCCUUACGACCAGGGCUACACACGUGCUACAAUGGCGCAUACAAAGAGAAGCGACCUCGCGAGAGCAAGCGGACCUCAUAAAGUGCGUCGUAGUCCGGAUUGGAGUCUGCAACUCGACUCCAUGAAGUCGGAAUCGCUAGUAAUCGUGGAUCAGAAUGCCACGGUGAAUACGUUCCCGGGCCUUGUACACACCGCCCGUCACACCAUGGGAGUGGGUUGCAAAAGAAGUAGGUAGCUUAACCUUCGGGAGGGCGCUUACCACUUUGUGAUUCAUGACUGGGGUGAAGUCGUACAGGGAAAAACGCUGUAAUGUAAACCCCACCGUCUUCUAAAGCUGAACGCGCUCCGUGACGCACGAGGGGCACUACUUCCACACGGUUCCCCUCGAUAUCAAUCACAUUCUGGGUCUAGCUAGUGGUAUCUCUCCCCUCUCGUAAGAAGACGCUGUGUUGGUAUACAAGCAGGAUAUCCCGAGAUUAGGCCGGGUAUUAUAUUCUGACUUACAACCGCCUGCGUGCGUUUACGCCCAUUAUUCUAUAACGGUGCCCCUCCUAUACCGGCGUGGUAAGCAGUAUUAGCGGUUCUCUCUCCGGGGAACUUAGGAGAGUAAGUCACCUCCUCCUGCGGGGAGGUUAACACAGAGGCCUUACACCGGAGGGUGGUGAAGGUGGGCUUGUGAUCACGUGCCCGAAGAUAGCCUUACAUUGA
rnacentral:rRNA from 1 species